UACGUAGGGAGCGAGCGUUGUUCGGAAUCACUGGGCGCAAAGGGAGUGUAGGCGGGCCUGUAAGUUAGGAGUUUAAUUCGAGGGCUUAACCCUCGGCUGGCUUUUAAUACUGCAGGUCUUGAGUAUGGGAGAGGAUGAUGGAAUUCCAGGUGUAGCGGUGGAAUGCGUAGAUAUCUGGAAGAACACCAGUAGCGAAGGCGGUCAUCUGGCCCAAUACUGACGCUGAUACUCGAAAGCUAGGGGAGCAAACAGGAUUAGAUACCCUGGUAGUCCUAGCCGUAAACGAUGGACACUAGUUGCUGGAGGAGUCAAUCUUUUCAGUGACGAAGCUAACGCAUUAAGUGUCCCGCCUGGGAAGUACGCCCGCAAGGGUGAA
rnacentral:rRNA from 1 species